rnacentral:piRNA from 1 species
UGAGCUUUCGACCCUAGUGCCCAGAGACUC